rnacentral:rRNA from 1 species
AUUGAACGCUGGCGGCAUGCCUUACACAUGCAAGUCGAACGGCAGCACGGGUGCUUGCUCCUGGUGGCGAGUGGCGAACGGGUGAGUAAUACAUCGGAACAUGUCCUGUAGUGGGGGAUAGCCCGGCGAAAGCCGGAUUAAUACCGCAUACGAUCUACGGCUGAAAGCGGGGGCCCUUCGGGCCUCGCGCUAUAGGGUUGGCCGAUGGCUGAUUAGCUAGUUGGUGGGGUAAAGGCCUACCAAGGCGACGAUCAGUAGCUGGUCUGAGAGGACGACCAGCCACACUGGGACUGAGACACGGCCCAGACUCCUACGGGAGGCAGCAGUGGGGAAUUUUGGACAAUGGGCGAAAGCCUGAUCCAGCAAUGCCGCGUGUGUGAAGAAGGCCUUCGGGUUGUAAAGCACUUUUGUCCGGAAAGAAAUCCUUGGCCCUAAUACGGUCGGGGGAUGACGGUACCGGAAGAAUAAGCACCGGCUAACUACGUG